rnacentral:rRNA from 1 species
GUGUCAGCAGCCGCGGUAAAACGUAGGAGGCGAGCGUUAUCCGGAUUUACUGGGUGUAAAGCGCGUGCAGGCGGAUCGGAAAGUUGGAUGUGAAAGCUCCCGGCUUAACUGGGAGAGGGCGUUCAAAACUACCGGUCUUGAGUACAGUAGAGGGAGGUGGAAUUCCGGGUGUAGUGGUGAAAUGCGUAGAUAUCCGGAGGAAAACCAGUGGCGAAAGCGGCUUCCUGGACUGAAACUGCCGCU